GUUGGAGGUGAGAGUUUUAGCAUGCCCGGAGGUUCCUCCUCUCGUGCUGCCUCACUAUACUGACAAAGGGUCAGCCUUCGUCCCUCCCCAUUGCUCCUACCACAGCCUGGGACACUGUCUGCGCACCAACAUCUUUCCAGGAGCUCCUCCGGUGUGGACGUCCCUGAUAAAAGACUCCUACAUCGGUCACCCCUUGCCCGCCCCUCCUACAGACACCCAGCGUUGGUACGGCCGCAGGACUGAUGACAUUGUGAAAUGGACAGAAAGAAACAUUGUGAACCAGAAGUUGAACAAGGCGCUAAAGGCAAUGGAGAACAAGUGGUCUAAAUGAGGCCAGG